CAUCCCCCUGGCCGCCUUGAUGCUGGGACCCAGGCUGACCCUGCUGCUCCGGCCUUCUGCCCACCCGCCUGAUUCCUGCAAAGCAACAGAGAGAAAACAGGCUCGGACUGAACUCUGCAGAGCUCCGCUCCGGACUGACACCGGCGGCAUUCGGCAGGUGUUUGCCGAGCGAAGCCCGCAGCAGGAGCAGAGCAGCAGCAUCAGCCGUAACCCAACACCGCGCCUCCCCAUCGGAUGCUAGAGGAGCAUAUCUGCGACACACGGCGCUCCGCUCCGGGCUCUACCUCCGCGUCUACGCCACCAGCCCGCCGACACGUGCGUGCGGCUCGCCUCGUCCCUCCGUCCUCUAACAACAACAACAGCAGCCCAGGGUCCAUGUUGACCUCCCAGCAGCAGCUAAUGGAGCUAAGCGGCGCCGUGCACGGCAGCCGCGGACGGAGCUGCAAGAGAAAGCUUUAAGCGGGACCACGGGAGCCGCGUUUACCUUCCUUCUUCAGGGGCACCGGAGCCAGAGACUCCUCCUUUUUGUCCAGCAGCGGGGUUUUCCUGUCCUUCUGGGACUCCUUCUUCGGCUGCUUGGCGGCUUGCGCCGCGGUCUUCGCGGACCCAGCGGCGGCCCCCUCCUUCUUCUUGUUUUCGGCGGCUUUCAGGAUCUCGAACGGGUCGGACUCGUCGUCCAAUAGCUGGUCGAACCUGUUGGUCACGACGCAGCCGAAGCCUUCUUGCAAGUGUCCGGGCAUGAUGGCG